rnacentral:misc_RNA from 1 species
UACGGAGGGUGCAAGCCUUGUCCGGAACCAUUGGGUGUAAAGGGUACGUAGGCGGAAGCCUAAGUCGGGGGUGAAAUCUUGCCGCUUAACGGUAAAAUGGCCUUCGAUACCGGGUUUCUUGAGUUCGGAAGAGGUUGGUGGAAUUCGUGGUGUAGCGGUGAAAUGCAUAGAGAUCACGAAGAACACCGGUGGCGAAGGCGGCCAACUGGUCCGACACUGACGCUGAGGCACGAGAGCGUGGGGAGCGAACAGG